rnacentral:lncRNA from 1 species
CAAACCCUCACCCAGGGGAAGACAGCGGGUUGGGAAGAGGAGACCGCCUGGGUGACCUAGACGUGUAACUGUCUUUUCAUGCUCACCCACUGCGCUGUUUCAAAUACAGUGAGCCUGGGGGUGUAGCCCUGCAGCGGAGCCUGUGCUUAGCAUGCGGGAGGCACUGGGUUCGUCCCCACACUGAAAAAAUAAAAUGCAACCAACGUUGUUUCCUUGUGGGAGACAGGUAAGCACAAUUUCCCUGACUCUAAAGCUUGAAUUUGACAGGUGUGGGGCCCGAAUUCAAUACCCAAUACCCGGGGAGGGGGGUGGCUGAAUUUGAAAGUCAGAAUUGUGCAAACCUGGUCAUUGCUUGUCUAGGCUGUGUGACUUUGGACCAGUGAUUUCACCUCUUAACUUCUUCAUCUGCCAAAUAAGAAAGAUCAGGGAGUCAACUCAGUAGGGUGGUUUUAAAGUAUUAAGUUUUCAAAGUUCUUAGCACAGUACUCUGCACAUAGUAAAUGCUCAAUAAAUAUCAGUUCACUUUUUUGGGGGGGCAGUACAGGGGAUUGAACGGAAGGAUGGUCUAACUGAGCUACAUUCCAAGCCAUUUUUUAAAUUUUGAUACAGGGUCUCUCUAAGUUGUUGAGGCUGACUUGUAAUUCUCCUGCCUCAGCCUCUUUAAUCGCUGAGAUUACAGGUAUGUACCAUCCUGUCUGACUUAGUUCACAUCACAAAUGCCCAUUGUUAAUAUUUCCUGUCCAGAGGUCCACUUGUCUUCUCUCAGUUACUCUAAUAUGCCAACUGCAUUCCCCUCAGGGACUUUCCAUGGCCUUACUAGUCCCUUGAAGACCUUCCCCACCUCCAUUCCAUGUUUGGCCUCUUCUUCUUUUAGCUUAAACACCACCUGUGCAGAUCUACAGAGACAUCCUAGAUACAAAAUCCCCAUAAUUCCCUAGAAGUUAAUUAGGGCAUUUUUAUAGCCUUUAUUCCAACUUUUAAUGGUUUCCUGGGGGGGGUUGUGGAGAUCCUCCAUUAGGUGGUGUGUCUUUGGGGGCAGGCACUUUAUCUGUAAACUGUGCUUCAUCAUCUAGAAGAGGGGCACAUAGUAAGCACUCAGUAAAGGCAUGCCUAUGGGUACUGACGGGAGAUUUGCCCUGACAACAACAGAGCAUAUUACAGAACCUGUCAAUUAGACAUGUGCUCCCGACAGAAGAACCAGUACAAAACUACUGAAUGUUGGCCCGGCAUGGUGGUGGGUGGGUGGCAGGAGGAUCGUGAGUUCAAAGCCAGCCUCAGCAAAGGUGAGGCACUAAGCAACUCAGAGAGACCCUGUCUCUAAAUAAAAUAUAAAAUAGGGCUGGGGUGUGGCUCAGUGGUCAAGUGUCCUUGAGUUCAAUCCUCAGUACAUUCCCCCCCACACAAAAAAUCCCUAUUGAAUAUUGCAAGGGUAAAUAGAGGCCAGAGAUGGAUUACUCUCCUGUACACAUCUCCUUCUCCAACAAGGUUGGAGUAGGAUGAGCAAGAUGCCCAAGGAGCAAAGCUGAAAAAGACACUUAUUCAGAUGCCAACCCAGCCCUGGCAUGAGCCUGAGCCUGAGUGCCUCCUUUCAUUUUAUGCUCUGGGGACCUUGUUUGUGUCACCUUAGUCCUGACUCUGAUCUCCAGUGCUCAGCACAGCACUUGGCACAAGUGUUCAAUCUACAUGUUAGAUGAUAAAUGAACCAGCAGCAAGAAAAUGGGCCCUGUCCCUGUCCUGGAAACAUUCGCCACCCACCAGGGAAAAUGGACAUAAAUGACAUUACACAAAAAAGUUAAAGAUUAUUUUAAUGAAGCCAGGUGCAGUGGCAUAGGCCUGUAAUCCCAACAGCUUGGGAGGCUGGAGCAGGAGGAUCUUGAGUUCAAAGCCAGCCUCAGCAAUUUAGUGAGGCGCUAAGCAACUCAGUGAGGUCCUGUCUUUAAAUAAAAUACAAAAUAGGGCUGGGAAUGGGGCUCAGUGGUCGAGUGUCCCGAGGUUCAAUCCCCAGUACAAAAAAAAAAUCAUUUUAACAAGUCCUAUGAUUUAAAAGUUGUAGGAUACUUUAAUGCUGAAUUAGUGAUUUUUAAAAAAUAUUUUUUAGUUGUCAAUGGACCUUUAUUUUUAUUUAUUUAUAUGCGGUGCUGAGGAUUGAACCCAGUGCCUCACAAUACUAGGCAAGCGCUCUACCACUGAGCCACCACCCCAGCCCCUGAAUUAGUGAUCUUCUACUGUCUAAUGAACCAUCCCCAAACUUAGCAGCUUAAAAUAAUAAUCAUAAAUCUCAUAGUUUCUGUGGGUCAGUAAUGGGGAACAGCAUCGCAGGGCGGUUCCGGCUUGAAGUCUCUGGCAGGAUUGCAGUUAGUAGAAGGCUUGAAGGGGCUGUCAGAGCAGUGUCCCCGCUGCUCCUGUGGGGCCACAUUGAUGCUGACUGUUGGAGGACGUCUCAGUUCCUUACUCUCAGGAAACCCAGGUUUGGAGGCUCAUCCCAUGGAAAAACCCACACCCUAGAGAGGAGCAUUGGGGAGAAGGAGAGGCUAUUUGGUGGCCAAAGAAUGGAGCUGUGCUCCCACAUCAGCUCAACUCACAGAUGCAGACAGGAAUAAUGAGGGAGAGAGAGUCUAUAAAGGGGAGGAAUAUUCGCGUCUUGUCUUGGAUCUCCUGGGAACUCAGGUGCCACCACUCCUCACUCCUUCCAUGGUUUGGUGUUUCCGGUCAUGGCGGCUGGUAGGUGUCUUCAGCCUGUUUGGGGGGGGGGAUGAGGCGAGUCUCCAAGGUUAUUAUAGUUUCGGACAAAACAUUUCUCAAAUGUUCAACAGGUCUCUCUGCAGAGCUGAGUAGACUCUGGCCCAAACGUCAAGGCGACAAAGGAGAUCAACACAAAAUGAAGACAGAGAUGUCAAGCCUUCAUCUUGACCUCAACAGACAUCAGCAGGCCCCAGCGAGGAGUUAGUGUUUUCAGAAAAAGUGACCUCCAGGUCCCUGAAGAGUAACCUAGACAACCGUUAGCAUCAUGACCCCCAAGUCAGAGGUGUGAUCUCGGGCCAAGCCAGUGGCAGACUGAUGGUGGAUUGCCCACGUGACCUCCAAAAGUAGUGAUUUUUAAAGUAAAUUAAUGCAGGUGAAAUGAGACAGUUUAUUUAGGCUUUUCCUCAGUAACAGGACCUCGGUUGGCCUCCCCACAGGACACAGGAGUGUCCUCAUGUAGCGCUGCUUUCCGGGCGGGGGGGGGGAGUGAUCAAGAGAGGGCAAGGGGGAAACUGCAGUGUCCUCUAUGACCUUGCCUCAGAUGUCAUGCCCUAUCCUUUCUGAAGUACAGAUCAGCCCUGUCGGAUGCCAGAGGAAACAGGAGUACCCGUGAGAAUCACUGGGGUCCAUCUUAGAAACUGGCUUUCAUCAUUAUCUAGAGCAGGGCUGCCUGUUUUAAUGAAGAGUUAGGGACAGCUAGCAAUGAAUUCUGUCCUUCCUCUCUUCCUCUGUCUUUCCCAAGGCUGGGGAUUGACUGAGGGCCUUGUGCUCCAUAGGCAAGUCAUCUAUCACUGAGCCACACCCCAGCUCCUAACUUUUCUUCUCUCCAACUUUUGGGGGGGCAGGGGUGGGAUGAGGACUAGGGAUUAAACCUACGGGUACUUUACUACUGAGCUAAGGGCUCAGACUUUCUAAAUUUUUUAUUUUGAGACAGGGUCUCACUAAGUUGCUGAGGGUUGAGUUAAAUUGAACUUGCAGUCCUCCUGUGUAGCUGGGAUUACAGAUGUGUGCCACGGUACCCGGUUUGCUUUCUCAAACUUUCUAAUUAGAAAAUGAUCAUAUCUACUUGAAAAUGUAAUAGUAGUACAGAGAACUCCAAUAUAUCAUUCACCUCGAUGCACCAAUUGUCGACAUUUGAUACAUUUACUCUCUACAUGUAUUUACUUGAAUUUUUUUUUCUUUGGUUCCUUGCAGACAGCAUGCUAACACUUCCUCCCAAAAUCUAAAUAUUUAUCACUCCUAAGAAAGGACUUUCUCCUCCAUAACCACAAUGCAAUUAUCACACUUAGAAAACUUAAUAUUAAUACUAUACUAUUGUUUAAUAUACAGUUCAUAUAAAAAUAUCUUUGAUAUGGAGAAUGAGAUUGAUCAGAUUAUAUUAUGUACAUGUACGAAUAUGACAUAAUGAAUCAUACUAUUAUGUAUGAUUAUAAUCCACCAAUUAAAAAAUAUAUUUCUGGGUGUAGUGGCAACACACCUGUAAUCCCAGCAGCUCAGGAGGCUGAGGCAGGAGGAUCACAACUUCAAAGCCAGUCUGGGCAAUAUAGUGAGAUCUUGUCUCAAGAUAAAAAAUAAAAGGGUUGGGGAUGUAAUUCAGUGUCAAAGUACCUCUGGGUUCAUUUCCCAGUACUGGGGGGGAAAGUAUCUCAGUAAUAUUCCAUAUAUAUAUAUAUAUAUAUAUAUAUAUAUAUAUAUAUAUAUAUAUAUAUAUUCUUCACCAGAAACCCAUCCAGGAUCACAGAUUGCAUUUAGAUGUAGUGUUCCACCAGGUGGAAUCCCAGGGACUCUCCUGGCUGAGGCAGGAGGAUCACAAUUUCAAGGACAGCCUCUGCAAUUUAGGGAGACCAUGUCUCAAAAUAAAAAGUAAGCCGGGCGUGGUGAUGCAUGCCUGUAAUCCCAGUAGCUCUGAAGGCUAAGGCAGGAGGAUCGCCAGUUCAAACCAGUCUCGGCAAUUUAUCAAGGCGCUAAGCAGCUCAGUGAGACCUUGUGUCUAAAUAAAAUAUCAAAAAGGGCUGUGGAUGUGGCUCAGUAGUUAAGCAUCUCUGGGUUUAAUCCUGGUACCAAAACACAUAAACAAACAAACAAAUAAAAUAAAAAGGGCUGAGGGUGUAUCUCAGUGGUUGCACACCCCUGGGUUCAAUCCCCAGUAGCAAAGGAGGGGGGAAGUCAAGUCCCUUACCUCCUUUUAUCUGGAACAAUCUCUUCUCAUUCUUUUCUGUAUUUCAACACACUGGCCAUUUUUGAUGAUUCCCAAUCAGUUAUUUUGCAGAAUGUCCCUUAAUUUGGAUUUGUCUGAUGUUUCAUCAUAGACAUAUAGAUAGAUAGAUAGACAGAUAGAUAGAUAGAUAGAUCGAUAGAUCGAUCUGUAUAUCUAGGUUUAACCUUUUUUGUCAAGAAUAUCACCAAGUGACACUCUUUUCCUCCCAGAGCAUCCCCUCAGGGGCAUGUGAUGUCGAUGGAUCUCAUCCUUGGUGACAUUAAACUCAAUCACUUGGCUAAGGUAAUAUCUGUGACACUUUUCUUUUCAAAAUUAUACAAUUUAUAUGAUAUCCAAAGCAUAAACAACAGGAGAAGAAGCUAUGGAUUAAACUUUAUUAAAAUUAAAAACUUUUGGGGCUGGGGUGUACCUCAGCCAUGGCAGAGAGCCUCCCCAGUAUGAGGCCCUGGACUUGAUUGAGGCACCACACCACAGACACACAGUAAAAACCUUUUGUGUAUUAAAGGACAGCUGCCAAGGAGGCUGGGGUUGUGGCUCAGCGGUAGAGCGCUGGUCUAGUGUAAACAAGGCCCUGGGUUCGAUCCUCAGCACCACAUAAAAGUAAAUAAAU